rnacentral:rRNA from 1 species
GACGAACGCUGGCGGCGUGCUUAACACAUGCAAGUCGAACGGAAAGGCCCUGCUUUUGUGGGGUGCUCGAGUGGCGAACGGGUGAGUAACACGUGAGUAACCUGCCCUUGACUUUGGGAUAACUUCAGGAAACUGGGGCUAAUACCCGAUAGGAGCUCCUGCUGCAUGGUGGGGGUUGGAAAGUUUCGGCGGUUGGGGAUGGACUCGCGGCUUAUCAGCUUGUUGGUGGGGUAGUGGCUUACCAAGGCUUUGACGGGUAGCCGGCCUGAGAGGGUGACCGGCCACAUUGGGACUGAGAUACGGACCAGAAUCCUACGGGAGGCAGCAGUGGGGAAUAUUGCACAAUGGGCGGAAGCCUGAUGCAGCAACGCCGCGUGCGGGAUGACGGCCUUCGGGUUGUAAACCGCUUUCGCCUGUGACGAAGCGUGAGUGACGGUAAUGGGUAAAGAAGCACCGGCUAACUACGUG